rnacentral:rRNA from 1 species
AUUGAACGCUGGCGGCAUGCCUUACACAUGCAAGUCGAACGGUAACAGGUCUUCGGAUGCUGACGAGUGGCGAACGGGUGAGUAAUACAUCGGAACGUGCCCGAUCGUGGGGGAUAACGCAGCGAAAGCUGUGCUAAUGCCGCAUACGAUCUACGGAUGAAAGCGGGGGAGUCGCAAGACCUCGCGCGGACGGAGCGGCCGAUGGCAGAUUAGGUAGUUGGUGGGAUAAAAGCUUACCAAGCCGACGAUCUGUAGCUGGUCUGAGAGGACGACCAGCCACACUGGGACUGAGACACGGCCCAGACUCCUACGGGAGGCAGCAGUGGGGAAUUUUGGACAAUGGGCGCAAGCCUGAUCCAGCCAUGCCGCGUGCAGGAUGAAGGCCUUCGGGUUGUAAACUGCUUUGUACGGAACGAAAAGACUCUCUCUAAUACAGGGGGUGAAGUGACGGUACCGUAAGAAUAAGCACCGGCUAACUACGUGCC